rnacentral:rRNA from 1 species
AUUGAACGCUGGCGGCAUGCUUUACACAUGCAAGUCGAACGGUAACAGGGAGCUUGCUCCGCUGACGAGUGGCGAACGGGUGAGUAAUGCGUCGGAACGUGCCGAGUAGUGGGGGAUAACGCAUCGAAAGGUGUGCUAAUACCGCAUACGUACUGAGGUAGAAAGUGGGGGACCUUCGGGCCUCACGCUAUUCGAGCGGCCGACGUCUGUUUAGCUAGUUGGUGAGGUAAAGGCUCACCAAGGCGACGAUCAGUAGCGGGUCUGAGAGGAUGCUCCGCGACACUGGGACUGAGACACGGCCCAGACUCCGACGGGAGGCAGCAGUGGGGAAUUUUGGACAAUGGGCGCAAGCCUGAUCCAGCCAUGCCGCGUGUCUGAAGAAGGCCUUCGGGUUGUAAAGUCCUGCUAGGGGGGAUGAAUGCUCCGUUUCUAAUAAAGACGGAGCUUGACAGUACUCCCAGAGAAAGCCACGGCUAACUCCGUGCCAGCAGCCGCAGUAACAC